rnacentral:rRNA from 1 species
UACAGAGGUGGCAAGCGUUGUUCGGAAUUACUGGGCGUAAAGGGCGCGUAGGCGGCUUGGUCAGUCCCGUGUGAAAUCCCUCGGCUCAACUGAGGAACUGCACGGGAAACUGCCUGGCUUGAGUUCGGGAGAGGGAAGCGGAAUUCCGGGUGUAGCGGUGAAAUGCGUAGAUAUCGGGAGGAACACCAAUGGCGAAGGCAGCUCGCUGGGACGUUACUGACGCUGAGACGCGAAAGCGUGGGGAGCAAACAGG